GACGAACGCUGGCGGCGCGCCUAACACAUGCAAGUCGAACGAGCGAGAGAGAGCUUGCUUUCUUGAGCGAGUGGCGAACGGGUGAGUAACGCGUGAGGAACCUGCCUCAAAGAGGGGGACAACAGUUGGAAACGACUGCUAAUACCGCAUAAGCCCACGGUGCCGCAUGGCACAGAGGGAAAAGGAGCAAUCCGCUUUGAGAUGGCCUCGCGUCCGAUUAGCUAGUUGGUGAGGUAACGGCCCACCAAGGCGACGAUCGGUAGCCGGACUGAGAGGUUGAACGGCCACAUUGGGACUGAGACACGGCCCAGACUCCUACGGGAGGCAGCAGUGGGGAAUAUUGCACAAUGGGGGAAACCCUGAUGCAGCGACGCCGGGUGGAGGAAGAAGGUCUUCGGAUUGUAAACUCCUGUUGUUGGGGAAGAUAAUGACGGUACCGAACAAGGAAGUGACGGCUAACUACGUG
rnacentral:rRNA from 1 species